GUCUUUGAUGCUGCUGAGCAGAUGGAACCCUGAGAACCUCUGAGCUCUGCUGCUUCACUCUCUGUCCAUCAGAGGGAUGCUGUCCUCUAAAAUCAGUAGGUUUCUCCAUGGACCAGUCACUCUUCAGGGACACACAGCUGGGUCCAGGUCCAGACAGUGAAGCAGCAGAGCUCAGAGGUUCUCAGGGUUCCAUCUGCUCAGCAGCAUCAAAGACGGCUGAACCACAUGUUUACGGUCUGUUGACGUCCAUCUGAUGUCCUCAUUGGACAGUUUGUUCAUAAUGUCUCCAUGCUGCAGCAACAAACACUUGGAUGAUGUUUAUGUUCAUCAGUCCAUCAUUCAUGGAUUCAUCAACAGGGACACACU